ACGAACUCUGGUAUUGAUUGGUGCUUGCAUCAUGAUUUACAUUUGAGUGAGUGGCGAACUGGUGAGUAACACGUGGGAAACCUGCCCAGAAGCGGGGGAUAACACCUGGAAACAGAUGCUAAUACCGCAUAACAACUUGGACCGCAUGGUCCGAGUUUGAAAGAUGGCUUCGGCUAUCACUUUUGGAUGGUCCCGCGGCGUAUUAGCUAGAUGGUGGGGUAACGGCUCACCAUGGCAAUGAUACGUAGCCGACCUGAGAGGGUAAUCGGCCACAUUGGGACUGAGACACGGCCCAAACUCCUACGGGAGGCAGCAGUAGGGAAUCUUCCACAAUGGACGAAAGUCUGAUGGAGCAACGCCGCGUGAGUGAAGAAGGGUUUCGGCUCGUAAAACUCUGUUGUUAAAGAAGAACAUAUCUGAGAGUAACUGUUCAGGUAUUGACGGUAUUUAACCAGAAAGCCACGGCUAACUACGUGCCAGCAGCCGCGGUAAUACGUAGGUGGCAAGCGUUGUCCGGAUUUAUUGGGCGUAAAGCGAGCGCAGGCGGUUUUUUAAGUCUGAUGUGAAAGCCUUCGGCUCAACCGAAGAAGUGCAUCGGAAACUGGGAAACUUGAGUGCAGAAGAGGACAGUGGAACUCCAUGUGUAGCGGUGAAAUGCGUAGAUAUAUGGAAGAACACCAGUGGCGAAAGGCGGCUGUCUGGUCUGUAACUGACGCUGAGGCUCGAAAGUAUGGGUAGCAACAGGAUUAGAUACCCUGGUAGUCCAUACCGUAACGAUGAUGCUAGUGUUGGAGGGUUUCGCCCUUCAGUGCUGCAGCUACGCAUUAAGCAUCCGCCUGGGGAGUACGCCGCAAGGCUGAACU
rnacentral:rRNA from 2 species